rnacentral:rRNA from 1 species
UACAGCGGUCUCAAGCGUUGUUCGGAAUCACUGGGCGUACAGGGUGCGUAGGUGGCGUGGUAAGUCCGAUGUGAAAGCCCAGGGCUCAACCCUGGAAUUGCAUCCGAUACUACCAUGCUAGAGUACUGAAGAGGUGACUAGAAUUCUCGGUGUAGCAGUGAAAUGCGUAGAUAUCGAGAGGAAUACCAAAGGCGAAGGCAGGUCACUGGGCAGUUACUGACACUGAGGCACGAAGGCUAGGGGAGCAAACGGG